GACGAACGCUGGCGGCGUGCUUAACACAUGCAAGUCGAACGGAAAGGCCCUGCUUUUGUGGGGUGCUCGAGUGGCGAACGGGUGAGUAACACGUGAGUAACCUGCCCUUGACUUUGGGAUAACUUCAGAAAACUGGGGCUAAUACCGGAUAGGAGCUCCUGCUGCAUGGUGGGGGUUGGAAAGUUUCGGCGGUUGGGGAUGGACUCGCGGCUUAUCAGCUUGUUGGUGGGGUAGUGGCUUACCAAGGCUUUGACGGGUAGCCGGCCUGAGAGGGUGACCGGCCACAUUGGGACUGAGAUACGGCGCAGACUCCUACGGGAGGCAGCAGUGGGGAAUAUUGCACAAUGGGCGGAAGCCUGAUGCAGCAACGCCGCGUGCGGGAUGACGGCCUUCGGGUUGUAAACCGCUUUCGCCUGUGACGAAGCGUGAGUGACGGUAAUGGGUAAAGAAGCACCGGCUAACUACGUG
rnacentral:rRNA from 1 species